UAGAGUUUGAUCCUGGCUCAGGAUGAACGCUGGCGGCGUGCUUAACACAUGCAAGUCGAACGAGGUCCAACCUUCGGGUGAAGACCGAGUGGCGAACGGGUGAGUAACACGUGGGCAAUCUACCCCUCCCUCUGGGAUAACUCAGGGAAACUUGAGCUAAUACCGGAUACUCCGAUCAGGUCGCAUGGCCAGAUCGGGAAAGCUCCGGCGGAGAGGGAUGAGCCCGCGGCCCAUUAGCUUGUUGGCGGGGUAAUGGCCCACCAAGGCAACGAUGGGUAGCCGAGCUGAGAGGCUGAUCGGCCACACUGGGACUGAGACACGGCCCAGACUCCUACGGGAGGCAGCAGUGGGGAAUCUUGCGCAAUGGGCGAAAGCCUGACGCAGCAACGCCGCGUGCGGGAUGAAGGCUCUCGGGUCGUAAACCGCUUUCAGCAGGGACGAAAAUGACUGUACCUGCAGAAGAAGCCCCGGCUAAAUACGUGCCAGCCGCCGCGGUAAUAC
rnacentral:rRNA from 2 species